AUGGAAAUAAAAGGGGACGGUCGGAGGGUAGACGUUUCCUAACUGUACCGGCAAACCAAGUGCGAAGACCUACCAACCAUUUGCCCCCCGAAAAACUAACGCUGAACAACAGCAUCCAUCCGAGUGUCUUGUGUGAUCCCAUUGAUUAACAAAUAAACACCAGAAAAUGAGCCGAUUCCUGAAAUUCCUGAAUUUUGGACGCACUGGAAAGAUCCACCCUGAGGCGGUCCCGCUAUUGGGCAUCAUGGGCAUCGCCAUAACCGGUGUGUCGAGCUUCUGCAUCUACGCGUUGUUCACCAAAAAUGACGUCAUGCUCGAUCACCACAGCAAGAUUCCACCGUGGGAGAAGAGCAUCGACGAACUCAAUCCCAAGAUGAUGAAUCUUCACUCCAUUCAGAAAUUGAACCCGGAAAUCCGCAAACUCAAGGAUGAAAUCAACAACAGCAGCGAAUAAGAGAGAAAAAUAAAAAUUGCGUACAAGAAAAUCAUUCUGUCGUCAACCCGGGAAUACGAUCACUUGAUGUUUAGAUUUCAUUAGAUGACAAUGUCUCGUAAAUGUAAUACAUUGUGAAAUUCC